rnacentral:rRNA from 1 species
UAGCUAGUUGGUGAGGUAAAGGCUUACCAAGGCGACGAUCUGUAGCGGGUCUGAGAGGAUGAUCCGCCACACUGGAACUGAGACGCGGUCCAGACUCCUACGGGAGGCAGCAGUGGGGAAUUUUGGACAAUGGGGGCAACCCUGAUCCAGCCAUGCCGCGUGAGUGAAGAAGGCCUUCGGGUUGUAAAGCUCUUUCGGCCGGGAAGAAAUCGCAUGGGCCAAUACCCUGUGUGGAUGACGGUACCGGAAUAAGAAGCACCGGCUAACUACGUGCCAGCAGCCGCGGUAAUACGUAGGGUGCGAGCGUUAAUCGGAAUUACUGGGCGUAAAGCGUGCGCAGGCGGUUUUGUAAGACAGGCGUGAAAUCCCCGGGCUUAACCUGGGAACUGCGUUUGUGACUGCAAGGCUAGAGUACGGCAGAGGGGGGUGGAAUUCCACGUGUAGCAGUGAAAUGCGUAGAGAUGUGGAGGAACACCAAUGGCGAAGGCAGCCCCCUGGGUCGAUACUGACGCUCAUGCACGAAAGCGUGGGUAGCAAACAGGAUUAGAUACCCUGGUAGUCCACGCCCUAAACUAUGUCAACUAGGUGUUGGGUGGGUAAAACCAUUUAGUACCGUAGCUAACGCGUGAAGUUGACCGCCUGGGGAGUACGGCCGCAAGGUUAAAACUCAAAGGAAUUGACGGGGACCCGCACAAGCCGUGGAUGAUGUGGAUUAAUUCGAUGCAACGCGAAAAACCUUACCUACCCUUGACAUGCCAGGAACUUGCCAGAGAUGGCUUGGUGCCCGAAAGGGAGCCUGGACACAGGUGCUGCAUGGCUGUCGUCAGCUCGUGUCGUGAGAUGUUGGGUUAAGUCCCGCAACGAGCGCAACCCUUGUCGUUAAUUGCCAUCAUUUAGUUGGGCACUUUAACGAGACUGCCGGUGACAAACCGGAGGAAGGUGGGGAUGACGUCAAGUCCUCAUGGCCCUUAUGGGUAGGGCUUCACACGUCAUACAAUGGUCGGUACAAAGGGUUGCCAAGCCGCGAGGCGGAGCCAAUCCCAGAAAGCCGAUCGUAGUCCGGAUUGCAGGCUGCAACUCGCCUGCAUGAGGUCGGAAUCGCUAGUAAUCGUGGAUCAGCAUGUCACGGUGAAUACGUUCCCGGGUCUUGUACACACCGCCCGUCACACCAUGGGAGCGGGUUCCGCCAGAAGUAGGUAGCCUAACCGCAAGGGGGGCGCUUACCACGGCGGGGUUCGUGACUGGGGUGAAGUCGGAACAAGGUAGCCGUAGGGGAACCUGCGGCUG